AGUCCAUGAUGUGGGUAGAGCCUCAACAUAUCCUUGUAUCUCUCUCAUGCUUCAAAAAGAGAUUCGUUGUAUUUUUUGCCUAAAUCCUUUGAUUUGGCUUCUUAGCAU